rnacentral:rRNA from 1 species
AGUGAACGCUGGCGGUAGGCCUAACACAUGCAAGUCGAACGGCGGCACAGUAAGAGCUUGCUCUUACGGGUGGCGAGUGGCGGACGGGUGAGGAAUACAUCGGCAUCUACUUUUUCGUGGGGGAUAACGUAGGGAAACUUACGCUAAUACCGCAUACGACCUACGGGUGAAAGCAGGGGAUCUUCGGACCUUGCGCGAUUGAAUGAGCCGAUGUCGGAUUAGCUAGUUGGCGGGGUAAAGGCCCACCAAGGCGACGAUCCGUAGCUGGUCUGAGAGGAUGAUCAGCCACACUGGAACUGAGACACGGUCCAGACUCCUACGGGAGGCAGCAGUGGGGAAUAUUGGACAAUGGGCGCAAGCCUGAUCCAGCCAUACCGCGUGGGUGAAGAAGGCCUUCGGGUUGUAAAGCCCUUUUGUUGGGAAAGAAAAGCAGCAGGUUAAUACCCCGCUGUUCUGACGGUACCCAAAGAAUAAGCACCGGCUAACUUCGUG